CCCUGUAUCGAAAGUGAUUCUGGUAUUCACUGUUGCCUGAUCAUUGAUACUGCAGGGAGAGCAAACUGAAAGCCUUUCCCGUGUUUGUUGGGAUCCCUUGUCCCUGUCAGACCUCGUAGCUUUCAGACA